rnacentral:lncRNA from 1 species
GGGAAUAGUUUUAGAAGCUGUGUAAACUGGAGAAAAGGUAGGGAGUAUUGGGGUGCGGAAGGGUGCUGGAGUUAAUUUCCCCCUCCCAAUUUCCCAGCUACCCUGGGCCAGGAGAUUGUGUUUAUCUUUAUUUCAGUGGUGCUUUGGAAGUGGGUUCUUUUGAUUCCCCUCGUGGAGGUUCAUACAUUCAUAUAUAUACUCUGGAGUAAUUUAUGCAUUUGGAUAAUUAAUAUAUUGCUUUCAGAUGCUAGGAGAGUAAAUUAGCUGAGUGAUGCACAACUUCUCUCUUAGGGAGUUAGACCACCUGAGGCCUUGACGGACAGUUGCAUGAGGUGCUGUGCACAGACUUGUGUAGUCUGUGUGGAGCCAGGAACACAGCUUGCUUGCCUUUCCUGAGACCAAGCUGCUCAGUGUUUAUUUCUUCUCCAGCACAAAUUCACUGGCUGUGUCACCAGUCUCAAACUGCUAGUCUCAAACUGCUAAUCAUUAGCAAAAUGACGAAGCAUUUUUGUUGACAGGUUGAAGGCUUUGAAUUUCUGGUGACUGCGUUGAAAUAACUCGUGUUGUUUUCCCAAAUUCUUCACAUACGUCUUAAAAGACAA